rnacentral:lncRNA from 1 species
UUCCAACUACACUUUGUGUUAUACUUUCUGCACUUAAAAAUUAUUGUACUGAUCAGCUGAUCGCAGUAGACGUCCUUGGACACUCACAAGCUGGAAGUUGCACCGUUUAUCCACAAUAUAACCGAUACGAGCAGUUUGCCUCCGUUCUGGGAUGACGCCGAAUUGUUGGCGGUAUUUUCGAAUUAAGGAAGAUGAGAGGAGCAUGAGACUGCUAUGUUGCAAUAACCCGAGCAAAAGUUACGAGUGUAAACAAUAAUAAUUAAUAAGCCGGAAAAGUUACUAAAAUUAAAUUAUAGUAUUUAAUAG